GACGAACGCUGGCGGCGUGCUUAACACAUGCAAGUCGAACGGAAAGGCCCUGCUUUCGUGGGGUGCUCGAGUGGCGAACGGGUGAGUAACCCGUGAGUAACCUGCCCUUGACUUUGGGAUAACUUCAGGAAACUGGGGCUACUACCGGAUAGGAGCUCCUGCUGCAUGGUGGGGGUUGGACAGCUUCGGCGGUUGGGGAUGGACUCGCGGCUUACUAGCUUGUUGGUGGGGUAGUGGCUUACCAAGGCAUUGACGGGUAGUCGGCCUGAGAGGGUGACCGGCGACAUUGGGACUGAGAUACGGCCCAGACUCCUACGGGAGGCAGCAGUGGGGAAUAUUGCACAAUGGGCGGAAGCCUGAUGCAGCAACGCCGCGUGCGGGAUGACGGCCUUCGGGUUGUAAACCGCUUUCGCCUGUGACGAAGCGGGAGUGACGGUAAUGGGUAAAGAAGCACCGGCUAACUACGUG
rnacentral:rRNA from 1 species